GGCUGGUCUGAAGAUAGUGAGUUAUCUCAAUUGAUUGUUCACAGUUACAGGUUGAACUUCUUGUUCUACUCUUUUGCCCUUCUCACUAUUGCACUUGACUAGUCUUUU
ensembl:Y_RNA Y_RNA Y RNA